rnacentral:rRNA from 1 species
AACGUAGGAGGCGAGCGUUAUCCGGAUUCACUGGGCGUAAAGCGCGUGUAGGCGGUUCGUCAAGUCGGUUGUGAAAGCCCCUGGCUCAACUGGGGGAGGUCAGCCGAAACUGACAGACUUGAGGGUCAGAGAGGAAGGUGGAAUUCCCGGUGUAGCGGUGGAAUGCGUAGAGAUCGGGAGGAACACUAGUGGCGAAGGCGGCCUUCUGGCUGGCCCCUGACGCUGAGGCGCGAAAGCGUGGGUAGCAAACGGG